AGAAUCAACGCUGGCGGCGUGCCUCAGACAUGCAAGUCGAACGAUUAAACUUUCCUUCGGGAAAGAUAUAAAGUGGCGCACGGGUGAGUAACACGUAAGUAAUCUACCUUUGAGUGGGGAAUAACAGUCGGAAACGGCUGCUAAUACCGCAUAAUGCAGCGGCAUCGCAAGAUGACAGUUGUUAAAGGAGCAAUCCGCUUAAAGAGGAGCUUGCGGCAGAUUAGCUAGUUGGUAAGGUAAUGGCUUACCAAGGCUACGAUCUGUAACCGGUCUAAGAGGACGGUCGGUCACACUGACACUGAAUAACGGGUCAGACUCCUACGGGAGGCAGCAGUCGGGAAUUUUGGGCAAUGGGCGAAAGCCUGACCCAGCAACGCCGCGUGAAGGAUGAAGUAUUUCGGUAUGUAAACUUCGAAAGAAUAGGAAGAAUAAAUGACGGUACUAUUUAUAAGGUCCGGCUAACUACGUGCCAGCAGCCGCGGUAAUACGUAGGGACCAAGCGUUGUUCGGAUUUACUGGGCGUAAAGGGCGCGUAGGCGGCUUGACAAGUCACUUGUGAAAUCUCUGGGCUUAACCCAGAACGGCCAAGUGAAACUGUCAUGCUAGAGUGCAGAAGGGGCAAUCGGAAUUCUUGGUGUAGCGGUGAAAUGCGUAGAUAUCAAGAGGAACACCUGAGGUGAAGACGGGUUGCUGGGCUGACACUGACGCUGAGGCGCGAAAGCCAGGGGAGCAAACGGGAUUAGAUACCCCGGUAGUCCUGGCCCUAAACGAUGAAUACUUGGUGUCUGGAGUUAUUAUUGCUCUGGGUGCCGUCGCUAACGUUUUAAGUAUCCG
rnacentral:rRNA from 1 species